AAGAGAAAAAUCACUGCCUUAAACUGAUCAUGAUAGCAGUUGGCAAAGAAAUGAGAAACAUUUGGAGACUACUUUUUUCCCGUUUUAAUUCUCCUUUAGACACUUUGAAAAAAUCAGAGAGGCCCUUAUUAGUGGAUACUAGCAAUGUUUGUGUAGGUGUGCUCUGGGAAAUGCUUUUAAUAGAUUGUGUAUUCCUGUUUUUAAAUAAGCCACGUUAAACAUCAUCUAGUACAGCAUCAUUAUUGGCAUUUCGCAUCAUAAAACUAGUAACCGUAGAGAAAGUCAAGAUGUUUUCCCAGUUCCCAGAACAUAAUUUUCCAUCACAGGAAUUAUUCUGACAGUUGCACAAAUGGGAACUUUCUCCCCCCCCCCCCUCUUGUUUCUGGACAUGAAUCUGGACCUUUCUGACCCUUACACGAGCGAUUAUUAACCUUUCCAGACUCCCACUUUUUUUUUUUUUUUCAGAUCCGUAAGGACAUUACAUGGAACACCACCCUGUAACUGAGCACAGUUUGAAGACAGAUGACUAAUUUCCCAAAUUAUUUCUGGAUUUUCCCUUUUGUUACUUAUAGCCUGAAACGGCAUCCACAGAAACCCGGCCCCCCUCCCCCCCAUAAGAGGUAGAAAGUGAAAGGCUGAGAUGGAGCACUUAAAAAUGAUCCCACUGGGCCCUGCCUGUUAUUCACCAGCAAGGAAUGUGGUCGUGUUUAUAAGGCCGAGGUUCGUCUGAAGGAAUUUUCAUAAACCACCAAUUGCAUUACAUCAAGGCCUCAUCUUAAAUCCCAUGGUGAUUUUCCUAAACACAACUAGCCUGCUGGCUUCAGACGUAUUAUCUCUUCUUGUUGUUGCAGAAAAUUCUCUGGAUGUUUAUAUUCCUGCCGGACCACCCUAAAACGGCCCGUUGGCUAACGGGGACUAGUAAGGGGUGGGGGGAGGAGGUGGCAUAAAUGACAAAGAAGAAGACCGGGGGCGGGGGGGGGGACCGUGCCCGCCCUCAGACCUCUGACAUGAGGCACUGACGGCCUGCGUCUGCGUAUUUUUUUGUGGCUGGUGCGUGGCGGGUGGACCAGACGUGGGCCUGGCGACGACGGGGAACGGAGAGGAGCAGGUGACGGAGCCGGAGAGUCCUAUUUCCGUCUCCCAAACUCCACGUGACCACAACGUCCGUCCCGGAUUCUCUGAACGUGAGUAAGGAGCAGCAGUCAACCAGACGCAGGGGAAGGAGCUGUCAAAACCAAGUUGGGGCUCUCGAACGUCGUAGCUGAACUCAGGAGGUCACGUUACGAGCUCUCAGCUCAACUCAAGCCCCAUGUCCCUUUGGUCAUGGCUGGAAAGCCCCGUGGAAAACAACACAGAAAGGGAAUGAGGUGUCGGGCGUCCUUACAGGGACAGUUUCUGCAGGACCUCGUCUUCCUGGGAGGGCUCUUCUCAUCCUGCACCUGCUCCCGUGUGACGUCCACCAGCAGCGCUCUCCCUCACCCUCCGUCCCCCGCCCGGUCUCCCUUCUGAGCUCUAGGUGCAAACAGCCAGCUGCCCCCGGGGCAUCUCCGUGGGGGGCUCCAGGGCACCCUGCAUGCCCACGCCCCAAGUAACUUUUCACCUCCCUCUGCCUGCUAACCUCCAGCUUGCUCCCCUCCCCGAGUAUAUUCCAGGAGGGCUGGGACCAUCAUCCGCCCUCCCCUGAGCCCAGUAGCUCCCCCUGCUCUGUGAAAUGAGCCCCCCCCCCAUGACCCCAAGCAUCCCCACCAGGCUGAGCCAGGGGUCAGAGCUGCCGGUGAGGAGGGAGCGAGCAGUCAGUACCUGAGCAAUGGCUCGCUCGGGAGCAACACUUAACACUCAGCCAACAGAGCACGCUCUUUCUUAACACAGUGGAGAGAAAACAGAAGGAAGGAUGUGGGGGGGGAGGCACACAGCUCCACGGGGGAAGCUGAGUCAGGGUCAAGGAUGACGCUGGCCCUGACGGUGCUAAUUAAACCGUAAGCAUUUCAUAGUCUCCAGGACGCCGUGGGAAAAGGAGGAUAUGAAACAAGGAGUCCAAGCCGAGGAUUGUUGGGAAAUAGGUGGGCUGGCGAGUUCCUCCUGAGUUUAGAGGAAGGGGGCCCCCUGCGGGCAGGGGGAGCCGGGGAAGGCCCCUCUUGAGCCUGGAGCUCCGGUUGGGUUCUGCCCAGCUCACGGGGUGAGUGGGGCCGCAGGGUGAGAGCACCUCUCAUCCGGGAAGGGCCCGCAGCCCUACGUGGCCUCACGCCGGGCUCACGCUCUGCUGCGCUCACCUGGGUGGUCACGAACACAUCCAGGUUCUGCAUUCCAGGCGGGAACCCGACCGAAGUCAAGUGCCCUGUUUUCUCAGCCCAUCGCAUCAGCAGGUGCCUGAAGUCAGCGCAUCCCCGAUUCCCUAGUGGCCUAGUUCAGGCGGGCGGGCCAGGCUUCCCUGCCCUGACGCUGGUCUUCCUCCCCUUGUAACCCAGGAGCGCUGGCUCUUGGGGCGGUGCUCGCGGCCAGCGUGAACGUGCUAAGUCUGUCGAACUGUCACCUGCACGUUCUGGCGUCCGCCGAUGACGAUCCGAAUCCAUCGUUACUCUGAUCUUUGCCGGAAGUCGACGUUCUGGGUAAUUCAUUCCUUCGGUCCAAAGGGAGAGACAUUUUCCAAAGUAACCGGCUUGUAUUCCUUAAACAUAUUGAUCUCGUGACAACCUGCGGGGCUGUUCCAGAUUAAAGGGGCCCGAAGAGAACCAGCAACUGGAUGCAGUGUGUGAUCCUGGACCAGGAUUCCUUUGUCCUUUCCUCUAAAGGACAUUGCUGGGACAACUGGUGACAUUUGAAGAAGGCCUGGAUAUUCUGUGAAAUUAGAAGCCUUCUGAAUCAGUGCUCUAUUUUGAGCACAAAGUCAAGAUUUUUGUGGCCGCAGCCAAAGAUGUUCACGUGGAGAGCUGCUGAGCUGGCUUGUUGAUUCAGGCCCCGACGAUUCCUCAGGUCUUUCUGGAAAUAACAGGGUCAUUGACAUGUAACGCGGUUAUAAAACCUGUGACGAGGCGCCCGUCUAGUGACAGCAGGGCCGAGCCAGCCGAUACCUCCGCGACCGAGUCCCCGUAACGUGAGUGCCUCGCGCCAUCCCGUGUAACCCCCAGGACAAAUCUGCAAGAUAAGCUGUGCCAUCCUGAGUUUUCACAUGAGAAAAUAGAAGCUCAGAGAAGAUGAAAAUCCUUUGCCCAAAGAUCCAUGGUCGUAUGUUCCAUUAAGUCAUCUGGAUGAUUUCUGGGGAGGCACGGGACUCCAACGUCAUGCACCCCACUUCUGCUGGCCGACACUUGGGGACCGCCGGGUCCUGACCUCAGCACACUGGAUGGUGGAGUGGGUGACUGUGUGCGUCCGUUUCCUCCAGCGAACACGGCAUCCGGGAGCGAGAGCGUUCACUUUGUCAAAGGUUCAGAAAUAACAGAAGUAAAACCAGUGAAUCACCGUGGUAGCAAUCAGUAAAAGUUUAUCAUGCACACACCAAAAAGGAAGUUUGCAAACCGGGAGCACUCAAACCGGAAGUUAGCGUGAGGCUCAGGGGUGGAUUCUUAUAAAGCAGCUCAUAUGGCAGAUCAUCAGAGCCACAGAAAGAGGCUCGGUGGCAGAGGGCAUAAGGCUACUGAUGACCUAAGACAGAGGCAACCCCGAAGAGGAAGAGGAGGAGGAGGAAGAAGAUUGUCGGGCUUGUGAGUCAUGCCAACUGAACACAAGUUGUAUCCAAAGGCGGACACGUUGGUGGUAUUACGCGUUUGCAGAAGGACAAAAGCGUAUCCAUAUAAUAUCUCGGUGUAAGCCACCUCCGCCACGGUCAUCACCUUGACCGCCUUCCCCCCAGACCACCACAUCCUGAAACCACGACGCGGGGGGUCACCUCCCUGCCUGCCCUGUCAGGCUGCCUAGCUUGAGCACGAUGCUGUCCACGGAACAUCCUGCAAUGACGGGGCGUCCUAGCCACACUCAUCCGGUACCUGUGGCCACGAAUGAGCGGGCAGAGUACGCUCCCGGUGAAGAAACAAGAAUGGCUCCUGGAACGCUUUGGGGCUGAGUGCUUCGCGGGAGGUGACUCAUGGAAGCGUGCUUACUGGGCCCAUUUUCAGUCGACAAAACCGAGGCCCAGAGCAUCACGGUUGUGGCUGAACUCGAACUCAGUGGUGCGGUCUCGUUCCAGAGGGUGUGACCUGCCUUUAGAAGGAGAGUCCCGCUUGUCACUCAUUCAGGCUGGGGUCCGUCCUUGCGAGCCCUUCAUGGAGCGUGAUGGAGGUGGCUGGUCAGGGGGACCGCUGUCCGCAGCCCCACAGCUCCAGGAAGAGUGGCUGAUGAGCCACACGGCUGACACACAGAGAAGGAGCCAUUUUUAUUUAAAGAUACUCUCAGGGUCUUUCAAAGGCCUCUCACUGUUUGCUUCCAGGCUGGAGACUCUAAAGGGUGAGUCAUUCUAGCUGUUCUGGGGUUUUCACUUCAAGGUCAGAGGCUGCAGGAGUCUCUCGUUUAGAUAUGCAUCAUGAGUUUUAAGUGCCCAGGCUGGGGAAUUAAUUUCGGUCGCCAAUGUCACCCCAGAAUAUUGUGCUUCCAAUGACUGCCACCCAGGCGUCCCUCCUGCGCUCAGCGGAGCCAUGCGGGUGGCCGGGGCUCCACCUGCCAAGGGGGAAUGAGAAAGAGAGCAAGAAGCUGACUCCUUACAAAUGAGCGAAGCAGGUGGGGGGCAGGGGGCAGAAAGAAGAGAGGAACGAACCAAGAAACAGACUCUUCACUGCAGAGAACAAACUGAGGUGGGGGGACGGGUGGGGAAGUGCAUGAUGGGGAUUAAGGAGAGCGCGUGAGAUGAGCACGGGGCCGCAUAUGAAAGUGUUCCAUCAGGGGCGCCUGGGUGGCUCAGUCCGUUGAGUGUCUGACCUCGGCUCAGCUCAUGACCUCGAGGUCCGUGAGUUCGAGCCCCGCAUGGAGCUCUGUGCUAACAGCUCAGAGCCUGGAGCCCGCUUCCGAUUCUGUGUCUCGCUCUCUCUCCGCCCCUCCCCUGUUGAUGCUCUGUCUCUUAAUAACAAAUAAAUGUUAAAAAAAAAAAAAAAAGAAAGAAAGUGUUCCAUCACUGUCAGUACACCGGAAACUAAUAUCACAAUGUAGGUUACCUGUACUGGCGUUGCAAUGAGAUAAAAAUAAAGAAAACGUAAAUAAAAAUGCAAACAUAAUAAACAGACAAAAAAGAAGCCAACUCCUGUCUUCACUGCAACGACUGUGUUCACUGUGCCCUGUCCCUGCUGCUUCCUGCACCUGCCGUGUCCGCCCGUGAUGGAGGAACGUGGGCCCUCCCCCCCAGCUUCCAGGCUUUUGGAUUUUGAGUAGGGUGAGGACUUUGGUGCCCAGACUCGGUCUUCAUCCUGUCGGGGCUGGGCCCAGCCCUGGAUACGACAGCAGAUCCCGGUAGAGCGGGCAUGAGCGGGUCGGGGAAACAGGACAGGAGGUGAUGAGGAGAGACGCGGAGGCAUCAGCUCCCUACCUGGUGUGCCCGCAGCCCCUGGAGGGAGGGUCCCCUGGAGCCUCUCGUGGCCUUUGCAGAGCCUUAAACCCUGGAAAGGACCCAGCAGGGAUGACUCCCAGGGGACUCUGGGAGAAGAGGGACAGGAACAGGGACCUGGAUGUAGGACAACAGGUCUCCUAGCCAGGGAGGCGGUGCCAGCCCACACCCCACGGCCCUUCUGCAAACAGGCAGUCAGUGGUCUCCCUGCACAUCUGUCCACAUGUGCCCCUUUGGGGGUGACCGUGAAGCCUCCGGGCCCUGUAACCUGCACACCGUGCACAUCCACACUAAUCAGCUCCUUAGAAGAAUUCAAUCACAAAGUGAUCUUUGUGCACAAUCAAAUCGUCAUAAUCAGCGUCAUUGAGGCUUGGGUUCUUCGAGUUAAGCUCCCACCACCCCCCCCCCCCAGGCCAACGGCCACACUUUUCUUACAUAUUCGAGGUGAUAUUUUACAAAACCAUUGUAUGCUUUACAAAACUGGACUCGUACUGAAUACAUUUGUCUGCAAAUUGCCUUUUAUCCUACCUCUUUGUUGGCAAAAAGUGUGGCCAGAGACACCCUCCUUUUAUAGUAUGGUUUCUGGGACGGGAGACUGCUCAGCCAAAGGGUAGGUGUAUUUUAAUACUUUCAUGGAUACUGAUAUUAAAAUGGGUAUCGAUACCGUAGAGUUUCAGUAGGUCCUGCCAGAUGGCCUCCCGAAAUGGUUGUAGUCAUUCCUGUUCCCAU